UUGGGGGUGAAGAUCGCGAGAGAGAGAGGGAGGUGAAGAAGCGACGAUUGUCGCAGAGGAGGCUAGUGUUUCCAUGGUGGUGUCUAACUCAGACGAGACGAUGAUGAUUCCAGGACGAUUUUAGAGUGCGAUGGUGUUACCAGUAGCUGAUAUUUUCUUGUCUAUUCUGAAUGAAUCAGGAACUUCGUGUUCAACGAAAUGCCUUAGCUUGCGUAGCGGGCAUAGCGGCUAUUUAUUCGUGGUGCUAAUUGGUUGGCUUAGGUGGCUUUGGAUCUGC
rnacentral:lncRNA from 1 species